GGUAGCGUGGCCGAGAGGUCUAAGGCGCUGGUUUAAGGCACCAGUUUCGAAAGAGGCGUGGGUUCGAAUCCCACCACUGCCA
rnacentral:tRNA from 1 species